UGUAUAGUAAGCUGUAGUGGUUUGAGUGUUGGACUAUGACUCUGGAGACCAGGGUUCGAUUCCCAGCUCAGCCA